rnacentral:rRNA from 1 species
GAUGAACGCUGGCGGCGUGCCUAAUACAUGCAAGUCGAGCGAAAAGACGAAGAUCGUGCUCCUCUUACGUUAGCGACGGACGGGUGAGUAACUCGUGGAUAACCUACCUAUAAGACUGGGAUAACUUCGGGAAACCGGAGCUAAUACCGGAUAAUAUAUUGAACCGCAUGGUUCAAUAGUGAAAGACGGUUUUGCUGUCACUUAUAGAUGGAUCCGCGCCGCAUUAGCUAGUUGGUAAGGUAACGGCUUACCAAGGCAACGAUGCGUAGCCGACCUGAGAGGGUGAUCGGCCACACUGGAACUGAGACACGGUCCAGACUCCUACGGGAGGCAGCAGUAGGGAAUCUUCCGCAAUGGGCGAAAGCUUGACGGAGCAACGCCGCGUGAGUGAUGAAGGUCUUCGGAUCGUAAAACUCUGUUAUUAGGGAAGAACAAAUGUGUAAGUAACUAUGCACGUAUUGACGGUACCUAAUCAGAAAGCCACGGCUAACUACGUG